UACGUAGGGGGCUAGCGUUGUCCGGAUUUAUUGGGCGUAAAGAGCGUGUAGGCGGCUUUGCAGGUCCGUUGUGAAAUCUCGGGGCUUAACUCCGAAACUGCAUUCGAUACUGCCGUGCUUGAGGACGGGAGAGGAGACUGGAAUUUACGGUGUAGCGGUGAAAUGCGUAGAUAUCGUAAGGAAGACCAGUGGCGAAGGCGGGUCUCUGGACAGUUCCUGACGCUGAGGCACGAAGGCCAGGGGAGCAAACGGG
rnacentral:rRNA from 1 species